rnacentral:rRNA from 1 species
GCCAGACUCCUACGGGAGGCAGCAGUGGGGAAUAUUGGGCAAUGGGCGCAAGCCUGACCCAGCAACGCCGCGUGAAGGAAGAAGGCUUUCGGGUUGUAAGCUUCUUUUGUCAGGGACGAAGCAAGUGACGGUACCUGACGAAUAAGCCACGGCUAACUACGUGCCAGCAGCCGCGGUAAUACGUAGGUGGCAAGCGUUAUCCGGAUUUAUUGGGUGUAAAGGGCGUGUAGGCGGGAAUGCAAGUCAGAUGUGAAAACUAUGGGCUCAACCCAUAGCCUGCAUUUGAAACUGUAUUUCUUGAGUGCUGGAGAGGCAAUCGGAAUUCCGUGUGUAGCGGUGAAAUGCGUAGAUAUACGGAGGAACACCAGUGGCGAAGGCGGUCAACUGGACAGCAACUGACGCUGAGGCGCGAAAGCGUGGGGAGCAAACAGGAUUAGAUACCCCCGUA